rnacentral:rRNA from 1 species
UGGGGGAUAUUGCACAAUGGGCGAAAGCCUGAUGCAGCGACGCCGCGUGGGGGAUGAAGGCUUUCGGGUUGUAAACCUCUUUCGCUAUCGAACAAGGCCCGCUUAGGGUGGGUUGAGGGUAGGUGGAGAAGAAGCGCCGGCUAACUACGUGCCAGCAGCCGCGGUAAUACGUAGGGCGCGAGCGUUGUCCGGAAUUAUUGGGCGUAAAGGGCUUGUAGGCGGCUUGUUGCGCCUGCUGUGAAAACGCGGGGCUUAACUUCGCGCGUGCAGUGGGUACGGGCAGGCCUGAGUGUGGUAGGGGUGACUGGAAUUCCAGGUGUAGCGGUGGAAUGCGCAGAUAUCUGGAGGAACACCGAUGGCGAAGGCAGGUCACUGGGCCAUUACUGGCGCUGAGGAGCGAAAGCAUGGGUAGCGAACAGG